rnacentral:rRNA from 1 species
CCUACGGGAGGCAGCAGUAGGGAAUCUUCCUCAAUGGACCAAAGUCUGACGGAGCAACGCCGCGUGAGUGAAGAAGGCCUUCGGGUCGUAAAGCUCUGUUGCCGGGGAAGAACGAGUGGCGUUCGAACAGGGGGGCGCCUUGACUGGUACCCGGCCAGCAAGGCCACGUAUAACUACGUGCCAGCGAGCCGCGGUAAU